GCCAAGUCCAAGAACCACACCACACACAACUGGUCCCGAAUAUGGCACAGAAAUUGCCUCAAGAAACCCCAAUCACAAAGAUACGAAUCUCUUAAGGGGUGGACCCCAAGUUCCUGAGGAACAUGCGCUUUGCCAAGAAGCACAACAAGAAGGGCCUAAAGAAGAUGCAGGCCAACAAUGCCAAGGCCAUGAGUGCACGUGCAAAGGCUAUCAAGGCCCUGGUAAAGCCCAAGGAAGUUAAGCCCAAGAUCCCAAAGGGUGUCAGCCACAAGCUCCAUCGACUUGCCCACAUUGCCCACUCCAAGCUUGGGAAGCAUGAUCAUGCCCACAUUGCCAAAGGGCUCAGGCUGUGUGGGCCAAAGGCCAAGACCAAGGAUCAAACCAAGGCCCAGCCUGCAGCUCCAGCUUCAAUUCCAGCUCAGGCUCCCAAAGGCGCCCAGGCCACUACAAAGGGUUC
rnacentral:lncRNA from 1 species